UGCAGUCGAACGAGAAAGUGGUAGCAAUACCAUGAGUAAAGUGGCGCACGGGUGAGUAACACGUGACUAACCUACCCUGGAGUGGGGGAUAACUGAGGGAAACCUUAGCUAAUACCGCAUAAUACCCACGGGUCAAAGGAGCAAUUCGCUCUGGGAGGGGGUCGCGGCCGAUUAGUUAGUUGGCGGGGUAACGGCCCACCAAGACGAUGAUCGGUAUCCGGCCUGAGAGGGCGCACGGACACACUGGAACUGAAACACGGUCCAGACUCCUACGGGAGGCAGCAGUGGGGAAUUUUGCGCAAUGGGGGAAACCCUGACGCAGCAACGCCGCGUGGAGGAUGAAGUCCUUCGGGACGUAAACUCCUUUCGAUCGGGACGAUUAUGACGGUACCGGAAGAAGAAGCCCCGGCUAACUUCGUGCCAGCAGCCGCGGUAAUACGAGGGGGGCGAGCGUUGUUCGGAAUUAUUGGGCGUAAAGGGUGCGUAGGCGGUUUGGUAAGUCUGAUGUGAAAUCUAUGGGCUCAACUCAUAGUCUGCAUCGGAAACUGCCGGGCUUGAGUGUGGGAGAGGUGAAGUGGAAUUCCUGGUGUAGCGGUGAAAUGCGUAGAUAUCAGGAGGAACACCUGUGGCGAAAGCGGCUCACUGGACCACAACUGACGCUGAUGCACGAAAGCUAGGGGAGCAAACAGGAUUAGAUACCCUGGUAGUCCUAGCCCUAAACGAUGACUGCUUGGUGUGACGGGUACCCAAUCCCGCCGUGCCGUAGCUAACGCGUUAAGCAGUCCGCCUGGGGGAGUACGGUCGCAAGGCUGAAACUCAAAGGAAUUGACGGGGGCCCGCACAAGCGGUGGAGCAUGUGGUUUA
rnacentral:rRNA from 1 species